GGAAUAUUGGACAAUGGGCGAAAGCCUGAUCCAGCCAUGCCGCGUGUGUGAAGAAGGUCUUCGGAUUGUAAAGCACUUUAAGUUGGGAGGAAGGGUAGUAACUUAAUACGUUGCUAUUUUGACGUUACCGACAGAAUAAGCACCGGCUAACUUCGUGCCAGCAGCCGCGGUAAUACGAAGGGUGCAAGCGUUAAUCGGAAUUACUGGGCGUAAAGCGCGCGUAGGUGGUUCAGUAAGUUGGAUGUGAAAUCCCCGGGCUCAACCUGGGAACUGCAUCCAAAACUGCUGAACUAGAGUACGGUAGAGGGUGGUGGAAUUCCCAGUGUAGAGGUGAAAUUCGUAGAUAUUGGGAAGAACACCGGUGGCGAAGGCGGCGACCUGGACCGUAUCUGACGCUGAGGCGCGAAAGCGUGGGGAGCAAAC
rnacentral:rRNA from 1 species